rnacentral:misc_RNA from 1 species
CAACACCCAGCAGAUUGCACUCGUAGACCAAGUGCCUCACCAGUUACAACCUCACUUAAAAGAUCUUUAAAGAUCAAGCGCUCAACAUCCAGAACUAACCAUGGGAGUUCACUACUAUAAGUCGUCCAAUGCGUUGAUUGAUGCUUCAAAUCUGCCUGUAAGAUGUUUCCCACACAGUCAUUCUCAUCUUGUAAGCUGCAGUGUGAGGCAUUACCUUGCAGUCUGUCUACCUCGGAGCACAAUUCCCCCAAAAGCUUUUGUCCUCUUGGUCUUCUGUCCGCCAGCAUAUUUGGUGAGUGCCAAUACUUCGAACAACUUUCCAGACGUAAUUUGUGAGCUAGGAUUUCAUUCACAACAUCAAAUACAAGUUUUCUUU